rnacentral:rRNA from 1 species
GAUGAACGCUAGCGAUAGGCUUAACACAUGCAAGUCGAGGGGCAGCGCGAGGUAGCAAUACUUUGGCGGCGACCGGCGCACGGGUGCGUAACACGUAUGUAACUUACCUCUUACAACCGGAUAACACGGUGAAAGUCGUGCUAAUAUGGUAUAGUUUCACAUUUUUGCAUGAGAAGGUGAAUAAAGAUUUAUCGGUAAGAGAUAGACAUGCGGUCCAUUAGAUAGUUGGUGAGGUAACGGCUCACCAAGUCGACGAUGGAUAGGGGGACUGAGAGGUUGACCCCCCACACUGGUACUGAGACACGGACCAGACUCCUACGGGAGGCAGCAGUGAGGAAUAUUGGUCAAUGGGCGAGAGCCUGAACCAGCCAAGUCGCGUGAAGGAAGACGGUUCAUAAGGAUUGUAAACUUCUUUUGUAGAGGGGUAAAGGUGCGUACGUGUACGCAUUUGCAAGUACUCUACGAAUAAGUAUCGGCUAACUCCGUGCCAUCAGCCGCGGUAAUACGGGGGAUACGAGCGUUAUCCGGAAUUAUUGGGUUUAAAGGGUGCGUAGGUGGCUAUUUAAGUCAGGGGUGAAAAGCAUGAGCUCAACUCAUGUCUUGCCUUUGAAACUGGACAGCUAGAGAAGAGACGAGGUAUGUGGAAUGUGUGGUGUAGCGGUGAAAUGCAUAGAUAUCACACAGAACUCCGAUUGCGCAGGCAGCGUACCAGACUUAUUCUGACACUGAAGCACGAAAGCGUGGGUAUCAAACAGGAUUAGAUACCCUGGUAGUCCACGCAGUAAACGAUGAAUACUAGUUUUUUGCGAUAUACGGUAAGAGACUAAGCGAAAGCGAUAAGUAUUCCACCUGGGGAGUACGCCGGCAACGGUGAAACUCAAAGGAAUUGACGGGGGCCCGCACAAGCGGAGGAACAUGUGGUUUAAUUCGAUGAUACGCGAGGAACCUUACCCGGGAUUGAAAUGUAGGAGUUAGAUGAUGAGAGUCAUUGUCCCUUCGGGGCUCCUAUGUAGGUGCUGCAUGGUUGUCGUCAGCUCGUGCCGUGAGGUGUUUGCUUAAGUGCAAUAACGAGCGCAACCCACGUUGAUAGUUACUAACAGGUUAAGCUGAGGACUCUAUCGAGACAGCCGUCGUAAGGCGAGAGGAAGGUGUGGAUGACGUCAAAUCAGCACGGCCCUUACAUCCGGGGCGACACACGUGUUACAAUGGUGAGGACAGCAGGAAGCGACAUGGUGACAUGAAGCAGAUCCCAAAACCUCACCCCAGUUCGGAUCGGAGUCUGCAACUCGACUCCGUGAAGCCGGAUUCGCUAGUAAUCGCGCAUCAGCCAUAGCGCGGUGAAUACGUUCCCGGGCCU